UUGUUGUGAAGAUAAGGUGGUUGGAUAGUGGGUUUGUUGCUUUGUUGGUUUGUUUAUUCUUGUGAAGAUAAGAUGGUUUGUUGUUGUUGAGAAAUGGUUAAUGUGCUUUGGCUGUUUGCAUAUAGUUGUGGUUUGUUGCAAUUGCAUAUAGUUGCAUAUAGAAUGUUGUGCAUUGCUUUUUGUUGUUGGCUUUUAAAAUGCAAUUAGUUGCAUAUAGAAUGUUGUGCAUUAGUUGCAUAUAGAAUGGUUUUUUAGGUUAAAAUGCAAUUGCUUAUGUUUGUUGUUGGCUUUUCAUUAGGGUUUGUUUUUGUGAAUUUCAGUUGUUCCAGAACUAUUCUCUAUUGAAUUGCAUCAUGGUGGGGAGAUAAGUUAUGACAUGUACGUUGGGGGAAAAGUGACAUAUAGAUAACUGUGAUAAAGACCUCAUGUCACUGCCGGUGAUAGAUGAUAUGGUGGAGGUAGUUGGAUACAUUGAGCGGUUCAUGAACUAUUAUUUCAAGAUUCCCAACAUGGACCUUUCCAAUGGUUUGAAGCAGAUUCAAAGUGAU
rnacentral:lncRNA from 1 species